rnacentral:rRNA from 1 species
UACGAGUGCCCCAAGCGUUAUCCGGAAUCAUUGGGCGUAAAGGGUGUGUAGGUGGUUGUGUUAGUCUCCUGUCAAAGCCUCGGGCUCAACCCGAGACCUGCGGGGGAAACGGCACAACUAGAGGAUGCGAGGGGUGAAUGGAACUCAUGGAGUAGGGGUGAUAUCCGUUGAUAUCAUGGGGAACACCAAAAGCGAAGGCAAUUCACUGGCGCAUUCCUGACACUGAGACACGAAAGCGUGGGUAGCGAACGGG